rnacentral:lncRNA from 1 species
CACAAGAACACAUGGGUUAGCCCCACUUCAUACUAUUAGUUUCCAAUUAUCCUGUAACUUCCUCUUGUAUAAACUUGAAAAGUCUAAACCAGAAGGAAAAUGAAAUAAAGUCUUAUAUUCAAUACUAAACCAAAGACUGAAAUGUUCAAAGAAAUACAAUGGUGCCCUAAAUAUAAUUACUUCAUUAUCACUUGUUUAUAUCUGUGGGUGGAAGCAACACAAGCCUCCCUGCAUGAAGAGAAACAUUAGAAUUCACCUUUGUAACCGCGGAAGCUAAAGGAGAUGACGGACCAUAUGGGAGGAAAGAGCAGAUAUGCAAGAAAAAUUGCUCCAGCACUUCCUACAAUCACAACAGGAUCUGCUGACAUAAUGGUUUCAACAGUUGAAGAAGCUGCAGGUUUCACCUCUUCAAUUACCUUGGUGGUCUGUUGUGCAGCAUCAGCCACUGUCUGCGUUCAAAGGGGUCAUACAUUUUAUGAAUGAAGGCAUAAAUAUUAGAUCUCAAUGACUACAAAUUGGAAUUGACAUGAGAUUAUUCAUCAAAUUCUUAAACAGCUUGUUUUUAUAACAUGUUGAAGAUGAAAAAAAA